rnacentral:lncRNA from 1 species
UUCGUCCUGCAGCCUCCUGUAGACACGACACAUUCUGAUUCUACGCGAUGUUGCGCCUUCGCUUCGUUGUCCUUCUCGCUGCCUGCGUCGUGGCAGCCAUGGCGAGCCACAAGUGCUCUCGUUACUGCCAGACUCCGGGGAAGACUCACGUGUGCUGUGAUCCCCCGCCUCC